rnacentral:rRNA from 1 species
AUUGAACGCUGGCGGCAGGCUUAACACAUGCAAGUCGAGCGAGCGGCGGACGGGUGAGUAAUGUCUGGGAAACUGCCUGAUGGAGGGGGAUAACUACUGGAAACGGUAGCUAAUACCGCAUACCAUCAGAUGUGCCCAGAUGGGAUUAGCAAGUAGGUGGGGUAACGGCUCACCUAGGCGACGAUCCCUAGCUGGACUGAGGGGAUGACCAGCCACACGGGAACUGAGACACGGUCCAGACACCUGCGGUAGGCAGCAGUGGGGAAUAUUGCACAAGGGGCGAAAGCCUGAUGCAGCCAUGCCGCGUGUGUGAAGAAGGCCUUCGGGUGGUAAAGCACUUUCAGCGGUGAGGCGUUACCCGCAGAAGAAGCACCGGCUAACUCCGUGCCAGCAGCCGCGGUAAUUC